rnacentral:lncRNA from 1 species
CCCUCGUGCACCUCUAGAGAGAAGAAAACUAGCGAAUUUGAGGAAAUAAAAUCCUUAAAUCCUAGGAUCCUCUAAGCUCAAACCUUGGAUUUUUUUGUUGUAAAUGCUCGGGAUGGAACAAGGGAUUCAAAGGAGAGGGAGAAUUGGAGGAUUCGAUUGCACUUGCUGGGAUUUGGAGCUCGAGAGAGUGUGUGGGAUGGGGGAGGGGAUUGGGGUAGCUGCACAGAUCAAUGGGUACAUUUCCAUUGAUUGUGGAGUCCCAGGCAAAAUAGCCUCCACACCCAAA